GCGUCGUUGGGACUAGUUUGCAGUCGAGCGGACAGAAGGGAGCUUGCUCCCGGAUGUUAGCGGCGGACGGGUGAGUAACACGUGGGUAACCUGCCUGUAAGACUGGGAUAACUCCGGGAAACCGGAGCUAAUACCGGAUAGUUCCUUGAACCGCAUGGUUCAAGGAUGAAAGACGGUUUCGGCUGUCACUUACAGAUGGACCCGCGGCGCAUUAGCUAGUUGGUGGGGUAAUGGCUCACCAAGGCGACGAUGCGUAGCCGACCUGAGAGGGUGAUCGGCCACACUGGGACUGAGACACGGCCCAGACUCCUACGGGAGGCAGCAGUAGGGAAUCUUCCGCAAUGGACGAAAGUCUGACGGAGCAACGCCGCGUGGGGAGUGAUGAAGGUUUUCGGAUCGUAAAGCUCUGUUGUUAGGGAAGAACAAGUGCGAGAGUAACUGCUCGCACCUUGACGGUACCUAACCAGAAAGCCACGGCUAACUACGUGCCAGCAGCCGCGGUAAUACGUAGGUGGCAAGCGUUGUCCGGAAUUAUUGGGCGUAAAGGGCUCGCAGGCGGUUUCUUAAGUCUGAUGUGAAAGCCCCCGGCUCAACCGGGGAGGGUCAUUGGAAACUGGGAAACUUGAGUGCAGAAGAGGAGAGUGGAAUUCCACGUGUAGCGGUGAAAUGCGUAGAGAUGUGGAGGAACACCAGUGGCGAAGGCGACUCUCUGGUCUGUAACUGACGCUGAGGAGCGAAAGCGUGGGGAGCGAACAGGAUUAGAUACCCUGGUAGUCCACGCCGUAAACGAUGAGUGCUAAGUGUUAGGGGGUUUCCGCCCCUUAGUGCUGCAGCUAACGCAUUAAGCACUCCGCCUGGGGAGUAC
rnacentral:rRNA from 1 species